AGAACGAACGCUGGCGGCAGGCCUAACACAUGCAAGUCGAACGAUAAGCCACCUUCGGGUGGUGGACAGUGGCAGACGGGUGAGUAACGCGUGGGAACGUGCCUUUCGGUUCGGGAUAACCCAGGGAAACUUGGGCUAAUACCGGAUACGCCCUUCGGGGGAAAGAUUCAUUGCCGAAAAGAUCGGCCCGCGUCGGAUUAGCUUGUUGGUGGGGUAAUGGCCUACCAAGGCAACGAUCUGUAGCUGGUCUGAGAGGACGAUCAGCCACACUGGGACUGAGACACGGCCCAGACUCCUACGGGAGGCAGCAGUGGGGAAUCUUGCGCAAUGGGCGAAAGCCUGACGCAGCGACGCCGCGUGGGGGAAGAAGGCCUUCGGGUUGUAAACCGCUUUCAGGAGGGACGAAGCCACUCGGGUUAAUAGCCCAGAGGGUGACGGUACCUCCAGAAGAAGCCCCGGCUAACUACGUGCCAGCAGCCGC
rnacentral:rRNA from 1 species